rnacentral:lncRNA from 1 species
GAUCGGUUGUUGGCGUUGUUGGAUCCACGUGCUCUAUGUUCUCGUUGCUCCUGCUGUCUUACUUCAGGAUUCUGGCGCUGAUCCACGGGUGCGGCCUCAACCGACCUGAAGACGAAAAGGGAAAGAGUAUGGAAAGGCUGCAGGAGACGCACAGACCAACGACGGCUUUCAGUCCAGUAGUGGACUGUAUACGCAGAUGCAUGGAACUGUGCAAAGCAUUUUGCCGGGAAGCAGUCUGAGACGUUAGUGGUCGAAAAUGAUUUUGGAUGAACUCCGUAGCUCCGUGGCGCGGUGUGUGUUUCGUCGGAAACUCUCUGUCCUUCACAGAAGCACGGUCUAGAUUACUUUCAACUCUGGCUUGUACUACCAAUUUAAACCGAGCAAAACAGGGGACGGCAUUUACUACUGCUGGUCAUACACUGUCAUAAACGUAGUUACCGUGAGAGGGGUAACUGUACAGGCAUUUGCGCAUUUUGUCCUUCUGUGGGAACAGACAUGGGCCGAUCUAAAUCCGCGAAUGUGUUCUCGGUUGGUGCGGAGAAUAACUGUUACUAAAACAAGGGGUCGUCAAAGCCCGUGGAUUCCCUUUCUCAAUGGACUGGGUCCUUGUUUGCACUGUGCAUCCCUGUCACCGUUAUGCCAUUCCGAAAAAAGGAUGGCAGUAGCCACCUCCUACCUGAGGUCCAUGUCAGGAGGAAUAAUGACGCGGUCAAUUUUGUAGGAGGCGCCAUUGAAAUUUUCGAUUCGCGGAGGGUCGCUGACGAUUGUGCUAAUAUCAUUCACCAGGUACAGUGAGGAAGGACCCUGGGCAGCAGACUGCCCGCGCAAAUUAGAGAGCUGUCCGCGCCGUUUGUGUGUGACCUUGAUCGUGCUUCCUUCCCACGUGCUGAAAGACUUAGACGUAUCCAGGGGAAUCUCUUCGACAUUGAUGAUGUCCUUGAGUUCACAACAGGUAGCACACGAGAAACGCGUACUUACUGGAGUGAAAGUUGUUCGCUCGUCCCUCGAACGCAGGCAUGUUCUCGGCAUCACAUACAUGCUAACUGCUUGCCGUUGUUGGCGAAGGUAAUUAGGAUUUCUCCAG